rnacentral:lncRNA from 1 species
CUAGCCUAACGCCGUCCUCCCCUGCGGCCCCGCCUAGCCUAACGCCGUCCUCCCCUGCGGCCCCCUAGCCUAACGCCAUCCUCCCCUGCGGCCCCCUAGCCUAACGCCGUCCUCCCCUGCGGCCCCCUAGCCUAACGCCGUCCUCCCCUGCACCCCCCCAGCCCAACGCCGUCCUCCCCUGCGGCCCCCUAGCCCAACGCUGUCCUCCCCUGCGCCCCCCUAGCCUAACGCN